GAUGAACGCUAGCGGCAGGCCUAAUACAUGCAAGUCGAACGGUAAGGCCCUUUCGGGGGUACACGAGUGGCGGACGGGUGCGUAACGCGUAUGCAACAUGCCUUCCAGCGGGGGAUAUACCAGGGAAACUUGGCGCAAUACCCCAUAGAAUUACGGGACCGCAUGGUCUUGUGAUUAAAACUCCGGUGCUGGGAGAUUGGCAUGCGUGACAUUAGCUAGUUGGCGGGGUAACGGCCCACCAAGGCGACGAUGUCUAGCUGGUCUGAGAGGAUGAUCAGCCACACUAGGACUGAGACACGGCCCAGACUCCUACGGGAGGCAGCAGUGGGGAAUAUUGGACAAUGGGCGCAAGCCUGAUCCAGCAAUGCCGCGUGAGUGAUGAAGGCCUCGGUUGUAAGUA
rnacentral:rRNA from 1 species